rnacentral:lncRNA from 1 species
GGCAAUACGAUCAUUUUUAAUAGCUCAUUGGUCAUUAAAGGAUUGUCAUGGGGGUACAUGUAUCUUUUCCACUUCUUAGAACAAUAAAAUGAGUAAUUUACCCCCAUGUAAAAAAAAUAUUGUUGACUAAGGGUAUUUUCAUCUUUUUAUGUUUUAGAAGAUAAUAAAAAAAAAAAUUUCCUUUUGAAUCAGAAACAAAAUAAAGCAUGCGUGCAGGGGUAAUUUCAUAUUUUCACGAAGAUUUUUUUUUUUGUUAUUUCCAUAUUAAUUAAAGGGUAUUUUGGUCUUUUAAUGUUGAAUAAUUAAUUUUUAAAUUUAAAAAGUUUUGGCACGUGCUCUCCACGCAUCAAUGCUCUUUGGGCAAUGCGUGCAUCACCUCCUAGUUGCCAAACCUGCUCUUCUACUAUGUUGUUAGAAGUGUUGUUGCAUCCUCUUCCUUCUAGUGUGAUGUGUGACGUUAGAUGAUGGAUAGUUUGUCGUUGUGAUCAUUUAUUUUUUUCUUUUCUCUCUUCUACCCUAAAAAGUACACAUCGAU